UGACGGUGGUGCCGGAGGCGCCGCCGGUGCCGCCGGUGUCGAUGCCCGACGUCGGGUCGCUGCCGGCGCCGCCGGC
rnacentral:tRNA from 1 species